CUGGGAUUAGAUACCCUGUUAUUUAAAAUGUAGAUUUAUUUACUUGAGUAGUAAUAGUUAUGUUCUUUAAACUUAAAAAAUUUGGCGGUAUUUUAGUCUAUUCAGAGGAACCUGUUUUAUAAUCGAUAAUCCACGAUGUACCUCACUUAAAUUUGUUUAUCAGUUUGUAUACCGUCGUUAUUAGAAUAUUUUAUAAGAAUAAUAAUUUUCAAUAAUUUUUAUAUAAAUUAAUGUCAGAUCAAGGUGCAGCUUAUGUUUAAGUAAUAAUGGGUUACAAUAAAAUUAUUUAUACGUAAAUAAAUAUGAAAAAUUUAUAGAAGGUGGAUUUGAAAGUAAAAUUAAAAAGAUUAUUAAUUUGAUUAUAGCUCUAAAAUAUGUACAAAUCGCCCG
rnacentral:rRNA from 1 species